GAUGAAGAACGUAGCGAAAUGCGAUAAGUAGUGUGAAUUGCAGAAUUCAGUGAAUCAUCGAAUCUUUGAACGCACAUUGUGCCCUUUGGUAUUCCUUAGGGCAUGCCUGUUCGAGCGUCAUUUAAACCUUCAAGCUCAGCUUGGUGUUGGGUGACUGUCCGCUUCACCGCGGACUCGCCUCAAAAUUAUUGGCGGCCGGUACAUUGGCUCUCGAGCGCAGCAGAAACGCGUAACUCGAGGUCCUCGUGCUGGCUCCCAGAAGCUAUCUUCACAAUUUUGACCUCGGAUCAGGUAGGGAUACCCGCUGAACUUAAGCAUAUCAAUAAGCGGAGGA
rnacentral:misc_RNA from 1 species